AGAAUAUCCCGAGCCUCUGAUGACUCUGAGGUGAACUCUGCCACCAUAGAGACUGAACUUGGCCCUAUUGCAGAACCUGGUGUUUUCUCAGUUGCCAAUCUUUGCAAAGGUGCUUGCUGUUCACUCUCCUCCUACAGCAGGUUUCACUGCCUGUUUUCCCCAGAGGAUCACAUUGCCACUGUUCUCUGGUUCCUUUAUUUUGGAAAGAUCCAUGGUUCUCACCAUACUAGAAUGAUGGUCUGACUAAAUGCUCCCGAGUCACAGUUUCUUUUCAUUAAAAUGUUGUGGAUGCUUCUUCAGGGUUCAGCCAUUGUAUGCUAGUUGCUUAUGGAGAUCUAUGAGGCUCGUGUUUGUGUGCUUCAUCCCCAGCUGAUGGUGCGGUUGGGAGGCUGUGGAACUUAUAGGAGCCGAGGCUUGACUGCAGAAACAGAAGUUGUGAGCCAGCAAUCAGAGUGACAAGAGAGGAAACUAAAGAAAUGUACUCAUCGAGACAUGUCUGCUCCUGACAGCACCAGCUACUUCAAGAGGAAGAUGGACAUCAAAGAGGCUGCUUAUGGAGUUUGAUAGCCAUUUGGGCAAGAAACUGCUCUUGCCUGGACUGUUGCAUAAACUGGACACAAAGAACCCACAGAGAGAGGACUGCUGAACUUGCCUAAAGUCCCACGCUGUGCUUAGGAAGGUGGCAGAAGCAGAAAGACGGGAGAAGACCUACUGAGCCUGGGAAAAGAACCGUGGUCUCCAACCUCUCUUCCAAGUCAUGGAGACCUAUCCUGCUUUGCUUACAACCUCCAGGAAACUGGGAAGUGAGUGGCUGCAAUGUUCUUAGAGAGGGUGGAUAUUAGACUCUGGAGAUUGCUGCUCCAGCAGAGAAACGUGUCUGUGCCAAGGUUGGCAGGAAUAAGCAGAUCUAUCGAACCUCCCAGUUCGAACGUCAGGCUGGUUUGGAGGGAUCGUCGUGGGGUACGUUCUGGGUAAGUUCACGGAGGGUGUUUGUACAACACUGUAAGAUCCAAGGG